AGACCAAAGUGGGGGACCUUCGGGCCUCAUGCCAUCAGAUGUGCCCAGAUGGGAUUAGCUAGUAGGUGGGGUAACGGCUCACCUAGGCGACGAUCCCUAGCUGGUCUGAGAGGAUGACCAGCCACACUGGAACUGAGACACGGUCCAGACUCCUACGGGAGGCAGCAGUGGGGAAUAUUGCACAAUGGGCGCAAGCCUGAUGCAGCCAUGCCGCGUGUGUGAAGAAGGCCUUCGGGUUGUAAAGCACUUUCAGCGGGGAGGAAGGCGUUAAGGUUAAUAACCUUGUCGAUUGACGUUACCCGCAGAAGAAGCACCGGCUAACUCCGUGCCAGCAGCCGCGGUAAUACGGAGGGUGCAAGCGUUAAUCGGAAUUACUGGGCGUAAAGCGCACGCAGGCGGUCUGUCAAGUCGGAUGUGAAAUCCCCGGGCUCAACCUGGGAACUGCAUUCGAAACUGGCAGGCUAGAGUCUUGUAGAGGGGGGUAGAAUUCCAGGUGUAGCGGUGAAAUGCGUAGACGUUAAAUCGACCGCCUGGGGAGUACGGCCGCAAGGUUAAAACUCAAAUGAAUUGACGGGGGCCCGCACAAGCGGUGGAGCAUGUGGUUUAAUUCGAUGCAACGCGAAGAACCUUACCUGGUCUUGACAUCCACAGAACUUUCCAGAGAUGGAUUGGUGCCUUCGGGAACUGUGAGACAGGUGCUGCAUGGCUGUCGUCAGCUCGUGUUGUGAAAUGUUGGGUUAAGUCCCGCAACGAGCGCAACCCUUAUCCUUUGUUGCCAGCGGUUAGGCCGGGAACUCAAAGGAGACUGCCAGUGAUAAACUGGAGGAAGGUGGGGAUGACGUCAAGUCAUCAUGGCCCUUACGACCAGGGCUACACACGUGCUACAAUGGCAUAUACAAAGAGAAGCGACCUCGCGAGAGCAAGCGGACCUCAUAAAGUAUGUCGUAGUCCGGAUUGGAGUCUGCAACUCGACUCCAUGAAGUCGGAAUCGCUAGUAAUCGUAGAUCAGAAUGCUA
rnacentral:rRNA from 2 species